UAAAACUCUGCCAACUACCGAUCCGUCGAUGGUAAUUUAGCCUUGAUGGGGAGGUAAUCGGAAACGAAAGUCUUCCGGUUCCGGGGGAAGUAUGGUUGCAAAGCUGAAACUUAAAGAAAUUGACGGAAGGGCACCACCAGGAGUGGAGCCUGCGGCUUAAUUUGACUCAACACGGGAAAACUCACCCGGCCCGGACACUGUAAGGAUUGACAGAUUGAAAGCUCUUUCUUGAUUCGGUGGAUGGUGGUGCAUGGCCGUUCUUAGU
rnacentral:rRNA from 1 species